rnacentral:rRNA from 1 species
UACGGGGGGGGCAAGCGUUGUUCGGAAUUACUGGGCGUAAAGGGCUCGUAGGUGGCCAACUAAGUCAGACGUGAAAUCCCUCAGCUUAACUGGGGAACUGCGUCUGAUACUGGAUGGCUUGAGUUUGGGAGAGGGAUGCGGAAUUCCAGGUGUAGCGGUGAAAUGCGUAGAUAUCUGGAGGAACACCGGUGGCGAAAGCGGCAUCCUGGACCAACACUGACACUGAUGAGCGAAAGCCAGGGGAGCAAACGGG